rnacentral:rRNA from 1 species
UACGUAGGGGGCAAGCGUUGUCCGGAUUUAUUGGGCGUAAAGAGCGUGUAGGCGGCCAUACAGGUCCGUUGUGAAAACUCGAGGCUUAACCUCGCGACGUCGAUGGAAACCGUAUGGCUAGAGUCCGGAAGAGGAGAGUGGAAUUCCUGGUGUAGCGGUGAAAUGCGCAGAUAUCAGGAAGAACACCCGUGGCGAAGGCGGCUCUCUGGGCCGAUACUGACGCUGAGGAGCGAAAGCGUGGGGAGCGAACAGG